rnacentral:lncRNA from 1 species
AUGCACAAAUUACAAAGUUGGCAAGGUCUGCAUAUCUUCCUUGUCUCUCACAUAGCACACUGCUCCUCAUCUCCAUAUCUCCUCAUUUGGGCCUGGCUUCUUAAAACUUUCUUUUCUCUGCUUGAACUCAGGAAUCAUCAGGAAAAGCCAGUAACAUCAGUGGUGUCCAUUGAAUGGCUCAGAUUUGAGAAAACCCAGGCUUCUGGAAGCAGUGAUAGAGCAGCUGCAGCCAGAGGCUCCCACAUGGUGGCCUGGAGAAUAUGGUAUUUCCAUCCACAAACCAAGCACCAGGAGAGUCAAGUUAACAGAGCCAUGGCUGGCAAUGUAUCAAAAGGAUCACUUACAGAAAUGUAGGCUGUGUCUAUAAUAUAAAAGGCAAAAACUAAAGGUAGGUCUAACAGCCAGUGAAAAAGGAAGAGAAGGAGUGCCUCCAAGAGGUAAAUAUAAACCUAGAUAGUCAAUGGCAUGGUAUUAUAAGGCAGUGUUUUAAUAAGAACAAAGUACUGAAAACCUUCUGUUUCUGUAGACAUGAAUAAAAAGGCUAUGGUGUUUGGCA